rnacentral:rRNA from 1 species
AUGGCGGCGUGGCCCAGCCCGUGGCUGCCGCUCGUCCUCGUAGCCGCCCUGCUCGCCUUCGAGGACUGGCUCUCCACGCCCUCCUGCUCCGGCGGCUCGCCCGCCCCCGACCUCGCCGCCGGGGACCUCAGGGCGAUGAUGGUGGCCGACCUGAUGCUCCUCGGGUCCGACGCCACCUACGCCGACCGCUUCUUCCGGGACCACGUCACGUCCAAGCUUUUCACUAAAUCUAUUGAAACAACGAAUCCAGAUAUGAUCAUAGUCCUUGGGGACAUCUCAGCAAGGGGUUCAGAGCAUAACGAGAGCAAAUGGAUAGCUGUUCUUGAACAGUUUGAGGGAAUAUUGGGGCAGUACUCUUCCCUUCCUCUUCAUAUCGUGUUAGGUGAUAAAGAUGUUGGCGGAUGUUCGAGUUUGGAUGGUAAAUUGGUGCACCAUAUGGCCAAGCAUUUGCCAGGACUAGAUUCAAGUGGUUGUGGCGCUUUUGAGUUUAGUAAUAUCAGUUUUAUGUCACUAAAUGCGGUUGCACUGCUCUGUGGUGGCAACACGUUGCGCUUCAAUGUUGAGAAGGUUUUGGAGAGGGAAAGCCAUCAUUUCCAAAAGAAAGGGUUAAAUGGAGCAGAUCAUUCUCCUCUGGGAAGUGAAAACGGAGAAGGUGUCGGUGCCCACAGUUGGAGGCAAAACAGCAUGACGUUGGGAUCAGAUGGAACUGUCUCAGAUCAUCCUUUGGUUCCCCCGAGUUCAAAGCUAAGGGGAGUUGAUGGCAGGAGGCUAUAUGAUCAAUCGCAUACCCUCCCUGCAAAUUCAACACAGUAUAUUCUUCAAGCGCUUAAACCAAGGAUUAUAUUUAGUGCUCAUGCUGAUAGCUUCUCAGACCACACCCAUCCUGAUGGGACAAGGGAAGUAACAGUACCAGCUAUGACGUGGAAGAAAGGAGGAAUGCCAGGUUUUGCCAUCGCUACAUUUGGACAAAAAGGCGUUGUAUCUGUAAAUUGCUGUUGGCUAGUUCAGGAAUGGUACAUAAUGACAGGAUAUUCAGUAUUUUUGUUCUUGACAGCUCUUGCAAUAAGAUGGUCACACUGGAUAUGA